rnacentral:tRNA from 1 species
GCUAUUGUAGUAUAGUGGUUAGUACUCCACGUUGUGGCCGUGGCGACGCUGGUUCGAUUCCAGCCAUGGGCA